rnacentral:rRNA from 1 species
UACGUAGGGGGCAAGCGUUGUCCGGAAUCAUUGGGCGUAAAGAGCGUGUAGGCGGCCCGGUAAGUCCGCUGUGAAAGUCGAGGGCUCAACCCUCGAAUGCCGGCGGAUACUGUCGGGCUAGAGUCCGGAAGAGGCGAGUGGAAUUCCUGGUGUAGCGGUGAAAUGCGCAGAUAUCAGGAAGAACACCCGUGGCGAAGGCGGUUCUCUGGGACGGUACUGACGCUGAGACGCGAAAGCGUGGGGAGCGAACAGG